ensembl:lncRNA
AUGCCCUUGAGACACAGUGUCUCUGGAGGUAUUUGUGGCAGUAGCAGACGCAUACGUCUCUGUGUACAGAUGUGCGUGGGGACCAUCCCUCUGUCUCCCAAUAGAGGAAAUAGUGGUUGUUGCCACGGAAACAACAGCAACAUACUCCACACCUGACACUGGAAGCUAAGGGUUUUUUUGAGUCACCUUUGCCCAGGAGUGGCCAAUGGCACUGUGCACGCAGCAGUCCAAGUCCACUAGCUUUUAAUUACGAACUUUAUAAAUGAUGUCUUACAGUAAUGACUUUUUAAAAGUAGUCAGUCAGGUAUUUCCCCUUGGAGUAAGAGGACAAAUUGCUCAUGUGGCGAGCAGCUACAGCUCUGAAACCUGAUUUGCGCACACGCCGGGUUGCCUCUAAAUGAAAUGAUACAAACCUCGUCAGUGGAGGAUGUUUCGAGGACGAGUCGGUUCACGCUGCGAGUCUAUCUGAAGGCUUCUAAUUGUUUGAAGAGGAGACGAGACGGUGGGGUUAAAACAACAGCUAAUAGAUAUCACAGUAAAGCCCUAAAAGCGUAUUACUUGCAUCAAGAUAAUUAUUUUUGUUUGACACAUUUUCUGACAGCGUAUGUUUAAUUAUUACAACUGUAAGUGUGGACUAAUCUGCAUGCAUGCUUUACCCCAACAGAUCCUGGGAGAGAACUGCAUCAAAAUGAAUGAAAACUCUGGUUUCAGAUUGUUGAUAUUAGAGUUUUACACAAAGGAUUCUGGGUAGACUUUCUUUUAAGGUUAACGGGUUGUGCUUGCACUGGGAUUAUGAGGCUUUCACCAUACUUUUCAACCACUCAAAGCGCAUUUACCCAUUCCCACAGACGUCUUUUGGUGUCUUUACGUGCAGGCUGGAGGAUCCCAGGAUCAAACGAGUGACCUUCUGAUAAGCGGAGACUCUUGCUCCUGGGUAAAGCUACAGCCUUACUCCAAAAACCCCAAACUGCAGCAUGUCUUUAUCCUGUCUUCCUUCUCUCACCCCAACCAAUCACAGCAGAUGGCCCCGCCCCUCCCUGAGCCUGGUUCUGCCGGAGGUUUCUUCCUGUUAAAAGGGAGUUUUUCCUUCCCACUGUCACCAAAGUGCUGCUCAUAGGGGGUCAUAUGAUUGUUGGG